CUAUUCUGAAUUAGAUCCCCAGCAGCUACUAGCAGGCGGCUCCUGUAACAAAUGGUGCUCAACAUGGGGCACAAAAAACACAAGAAACAAAGAAGCAGCAGUGUUGGAGAGCUGUUUGUGAAUGGGAUCCUCCCAGGAGAGUUCUUUUGGCAACAUGCCGGGAAGGAAAGGGAGAAGAAACCGGAAUGCCCAGCACUAUACUUGGAGUGGGUGCAGAAGUAUUCAUCUUAGCGCUGCUCUGGGUGUUGAUAUUGCUGCUGUGUGUGCUGUUAUCCCGAGCCUCCAGUCUAGCUAGGUUCUCUGUCAUUUUUGUUUUCUUUGCUGCUUCUGAUCAUCACAUUAGUUCUAUUAUUUUUUCCCUGGGCCACUGAGGUUCCAAUCCCAGAGGUAGAAAUGAAGGUAAAAUUCUGUUUCUUUUUGCCUUUCUAAUUAUGAUUCUUAUGUGUUUCCCAAAUCUAAUGGGAUGUUUCCUGAUGUAGGGUUGAUUUGUUAUAUGAUAUUAGAAAAGCUGUGGUGGCAGAAAAAUGAAGGAGAAAGCACAGAGAGAGUUUUUAAUUCCCAUUCUGCCCAUUCUCUAAGAAAAAUAAUCUACUUCUGAAUCUUUGCUGGAACAUUAUCAGACAUUUAUGUGCCUGUUACAAUAUUUUCUCAAACCUCCAUCAUAUCAAA
rnacentral:lncRNA from 1 species